CUCUCGAGUACUUGCACAUAACGGAAGGUUCUACUAAAUGCUCCCUGUCACGUUUCAUUCCGUGAGCACUGUACGUGAUGCCACACUUCUAUUUCUUUACAGUUUAC
rnacentral:lncRNA from 1 species